CUGGCUCAGGACGAACGCUGGCGGCGUGCCUAAUACAUGCAAGUCGAACGAAGCUUUCUUUCACCGAAUGCUUGCAUUCACCGAAAGAAGCUUAGUGGCGAACGGGUGAGUAACACGUAGGCAACCUGCCCAAAAGAGGGGGAUAACACUUGGAAACAGGUGCUAAUACCGCAUAACCAUGAACACCGCAUGAUGUUCAU
rnacentral:rRNA from 1 species